rnacentral:lncRNA from 1 species
GUGAGGUGGAAACCGUGGCUGGACUGAGCCGUCCUUAUGUGAGGUGCCACGUCUUUCACUCGGCGAUUUUUACACAACUAGAAAUGAUAGUUGCCAGGUAUUUAGAAUAGAUCAUACAAAUGUCUCAGAAAUUUUGUAAUGAGUGUUGACAUUUUAGUGGAGGAGAUACUUUCAGAUGUGUUUUCAUUUCCAUACUGAAAAACAAGCCCAGACUGGCUUCAUUAAUGGAGUUGCUUUUGGCAGUUCUUCGUGGCGUGUGUUCAAAUGAGCUGGGAUACUUCUUCGGGAUACACAGGAAUUCGUGGCGUGUUUUCAAAAGAGCUGGGAUACUUCGGGAUACACAGGAAUUCGUGGCGUGUCUUCAAAUGAGCUGGGAUACUUCUUCGGGAUACACAG